GGGAGGGUUCCAGAGCGGUCAAAUGGGGCAGACUGUAAAUCUGUUGCUUCGGCUUCAUAGGUUCGAAUCCUAUCCCUCCCA
rnacentral:tRNA from 1 species